UACGAAGGGGGCUAGCGUUGCUCGGAAUUACUGGGCGUAAAGCGCACGUAGGCGGCUUCUUAAGUCGGUGGUGAAAUCCUGGAGCUCAACUCCAGAACUGCCUUCGAUACUGGGAAGCUCGAGUCCGGGAGAGGUGAGUGGAACUGCGAGUGUAGGGGUGAAAUUCGUAGAUAUUCGCAAGAACACCAGUGGCGAAGGCGGCUCACUGGCCCGGUACUGACGCUGAGGUGCGAAAGCGUGGGGAGCAAACAGG
rnacentral:rRNA from 1 species